rnacentral:rRNA from 1 species
AUGUCGCCAGGGCCUCGCCCCCACCGGCCAAAUCCUCUCCUUCCUCGAGCCCCGCGUCCCCCUCCAGCUCCCGUAUGCAUCUCUCCUCCUCCCAUGCGCUCCCCUGUCCCAUCCAUGCCCAGCGGGACGGUCGCAGUAGUGGCGAGCAGCGGCGGGAGUAGGGGCAGGGUCAAGGCAGGUGUUGACGGCAUGGAUGCAGACGACGGUGGUCAUCGACGUGGGCCCGGCGUGCGUAGCGGCGGACGGAAGGGCAGCAGUGGCCUGUGGGGUGUCGACCGGAACGGCAAUGACCUCCAUGGAAGAGAAGGGCCCGGCAGGCUCGUGCAGGCGGGAGAAGCUGGGGGCGCUCGUCCAUUGGGCAGAUGGCGGCCAUCCAAGUUUCUUCAAUCGAUCUGGACAGGGUCAUGGCAGCGUACGCGAGGGUUGGAGGCGAGCGACCCUCUAGAGCCGCGCACGUCGAGAGCUCUUGCCCUUGAUCACUUGAAAGGAGCUCUUCCUCGGCCUCCGCCUGGGCGCGACCUGCACUGUCAGUAUGUAUCUUGUGGCCAUGCCAAAAAUAAACACUUAAUAAAAUUUCUGUUUUUAACUAAUCCCUCUUCCGUUUCAGUCAUGUUCAAGUCUGAAUGCCUUUUCUCCUAUAUAUAUAUUUAUAUAUAUAUAUAUAUGUGUGUUACAUCAGGUGAUGACAUAAUUUAG